GUGUCAGCAGCCGCGGUAAGACGAACCGUGCAAACGUUAUUCGGAAUCACUGGGCAUAAAGGGCGCGUAGGCGGCUCGAAAAGUCAGGGGUGAAAUCCGGCAGCUUAACUGUCGCAGUGCCUUUGAUACUGUCGAGCUCGAGGGAUGUAGGGGUCUGUGGAACUUCCGGUGGAGCGGUGAAAUGCGUUGAUAUCGGAAGGAACGCCGGUGGCGAAAGCGACGGACUGGACAUCUUCUGACGCUGAGGCGCGAAAGCCAGGGGAGCAAACGGGAUUAGAUACCCGUGUAGUCC
rnacentral:rRNA from 1 species